CUUCGAGUUUAGUGAUUACAGGCAGAUAGAUAGAGGGAGAGAUAGAGAGAGAUAGAGAGAGAGAGAGAGAUUAAGCUUUACCCAACUGUUGUUUUAAUCCCCUGAGCGGAUAGAUUUAGAUGAAAAAAACACUAUUGGUUUGGAGCAGAUCAGCCAUUUUUAUGGACCGUUUGUGGAUAAAGUGGACUUGGAGGAGAAAGACAACAGUCUGAGGAGAAAAGAGACUUUUUUUAGCUCGGACUUUUCACUUCCCAGCUGCUGACUGACUGCUUCACUUCACUUCUAAACCUUUUUAUUUAUUAACUGAUUUCCUUCAGUUCACAUUUGUGACAUUAACAUCAUGAAGGACCGACUGGAGCAGCUGAAGGCGACUUGUGACCAUGACGACGAGGACGUGGAGAUCGCCGUGGAUAAUGCAGCAUUCAUGGACGAUUUUUUCUCCCAGAUCGAAGAAAUCCGAAACAGCAUUGAAAAGAUUGAUGAAAACGUAGCUGAAGUGAAGAAAAUUUAUUCCAUUAUUCUGUCUGCGCCGACAUCUGAUCAGAAAACACAAGAUGACCUGGAGGCCAUUACCAAUGACAUUAAGAAGAUGGCCAACAACGCACGCAACAAGCUGAAGACCAUUGAGAGGGAACUUGAGACUGGGGAAGAGGAGAGAGUGUCAGCUGAUAUGAGAAUACGCAAAUCACAGCAUGCAGUUCUCUCAAGGAAGUUUGUGGACGUGAUGACAAAAUACAACGAAGCUCAGGUGGACUUCAGAGACAAGAGCAAAGGACGCAUUCAGAGACAGUUAGAAAUCACUGGUAAAGUCACUACUGAUGAGGAGCUGGAGGAAAUGUUGGAGGGGGGCAAUACAGCAGUUUUCACCGCCGGGAUCGUAGAUUCGGGAAUCUCCAAGCAGGCGCUAAACGAGAUCGAGUCUCGUCACAAAGACAUCGUACGGCUGGAGAGCAGCAUAAAAGAACUACACGACAUGUUCGUGGACAUCGCCAUGCUUGUAGAGAGUCAGGGUGACAUUAUUGAUAACAUAGAAGCGAAUGUGUCAAAAGCAGUGGAUCAUGUUGCAGUAGCAAAGGUUGAAACAAAGAAAGCAGUCAGGUAUCAGAGCAAAGCGCGGAAGAAAGUGGUGAUUAUAGUGUGUGUUGUAUUGGUGCUUCUGGGCAUCAUUGCACUCAUAAUAGGGCUAUCAAUAGGACUUAAGAAAUAAGUCACUAUUGCUGAAAAUUAUCAUCUUGGGUGUGAUCUGUGCUGUGGUUUUGGUCAUCAUCGUUAUUAUCAUCCUCACGCAGACCCUUUGAGACCACACCCAUUUUUGUGACUCCUCCCACUCUAGUCAGUUAUUCCGGUCCCUGAUUCCUCCAUCAUCCCUGCUUCGAGAGGGGAGACAACAGAUAAACACCCUCCUCAUCUGUCACUGUGUCCUCGUGUCCUUACUGACGAUUCCUCACCUCAGCUGUAUGAAAUCGUGCUUUCAUUUAAAGCACUUUGACAGCUGGGGUCGAUCGUGAAGCGAACCUGUUUUGCGUAAAUGGACAGGACUAUUUUGUUGAAGUAUGGACUGUACAGAGAAAUAGACCUCCACUUUUCCUACCUUAACAUUUUUAAUGGUGUGCCCUACACCAAAGACUUGACUAAUCAUACACGGAUCCUAAAUGUACUGAAUUUUGUUAUUGUAUUAUUAAGAAAUACUUUUAUCCACCAUCCACCAGAACAUCAUGUCACGUCAUGUCACGUCACAUCGUGUGUGCCGUCUGUGGAACUAAGUCUUACAUGCUGAGUCUCACUUGCUGAAUGCAAAUACACACAUCGGGGAUACUCUGUAAUUUCAGUCGGAUUUACGUUUCACAAAACACUCAGUGAUGUUAAGUUUUUAGAGUUUUGGCAACACAUCCGUCACCUGAUAUUUCUUUCAUAAGGUCCAGUGUUUUGAUCUCGGUCCAGAUGGGUUGAUGUGUAGGAAUUUGCACUCAAUCUUCAAUGUCUCAUUUCACUGGAAUUAAAUAAUAAUAAUAAUAAUAAUAAUAAUAAUAAUAAUAAUUAUUAUUAUUAUUAUUAUUAUUAUUAUUAUUAUCAUUAUGGAACUUACAAGCAUACCUAGGAAGGAAAAAGUGCAAUUACGUUGUGUAUUUAAAUCACUUUCCUGUAAAAAAAAAAAAUUUAUGUCACUUGAGGAAUAAAUGAUUUUAUAUUUUUAACUGCUGGUGGAGGUGCAGUGAGUGAGUGAGCAAGUGAACGAGUGCAGUUAUAUAAUGCACUACAAGCACAAAACCAUCUGACAUUUUUCCAUUUGUUCUGUGAUCAUAAUGAAAAUGGUAAAAUUGGUCCUUUUUAUAAAUAAUUUAAAAAAAAUAUAAAAACAUAAACUAUAUAUAUAUAAAAUAUAUAUUCAUAUUAUUCAUGAACUAAUUAAAAGAUUGUAAUAUUUGAUUAAUACUAUAAUGAUAUUUGUUUCUAUUUUUACAUGUUUAUAUUAAUAUUAAAUAUGUAAAUAUUUUAAAGAUAUAAGUUAAAAAAUUUUUUUUAGAAAUUUUAAUAAAUAUAUUCAAAAGGAAGGACUAGCAGUAAUAACUGUACCUGGUUGUUAACAAUAAGCUAGCUAGAUAAAUGUAAUGAGCAAGAUAUAUUUUCUGCAAGCUGUGUAGUUAUAGAUGUAAUAAACGUAUUAGAUUAGAAUUACAAGAUAUUUGAAGGUAAGAAGUGCUCAUUUGUCAGCUGCUGAUUUGAUGUCACUUUUAACUUGUUGGGAUUUUCCCCAGUCAGAGGUUGGGAUUUUAGUUACGCUCUUUUGUGGAAUACAGUAUUACAAGUGACCUGAACAUGUAAAAGUUAUAGGCCUUAGUGUAAAUGUAAUGGAUUUCCACAAAAUAUGAUAUUUUAGUUGCUCAUCGUAGGUUUGAAUCUUCACAUGAUGUUAAUGGUUUUGAAAAACAGUCCAAAACAAAGAAAGAUGGACUUGAGUAGUAAGGAAUGUAAAAACUUCUUUAAAAAAACAAAAAAAAAAAACCUGGCUGCAAAGUACACAGCAUUCAGAAUCGCAUGAGUAACGAUUUUUAAGCAAGAAGUGACCCAUUUUGAAUUUUCUCCUCUCAUGCUCAUCUAAAAAGCACAUUGUUGUGAUACACAGCUCAUAGCUCCAGCCCUGGUGAUCCAACCCACUGUAUUUUUUUCUGUAACUCAGAUUUCAAAAGGUUAUUAGGCUAUCAAGCCAAUGCAGCUGUGUUCUAGUUUUGUGCACAAAACCUGUGGUCUGCAUGAUGAUGCCGCUGACACACACACCUGAUGUCCUGUCCACACCCGACUUGUCAUUUCCACACACGGGAAACAUUCACACACGCAUGUUUGAUUCCAAUGUUUCCCAAAAGCCUGUUCAUUUGAGGUAAUGAACACUUGUUAGCAAAAUUUAUAAUUUAUUUCUUCAGAUCUUUAAUAGUGCCAUUGACAAAAGAACAACAUGUUGAAAUCGUUAUCGUGACUGGAUAAGGAAGCUGUCGCAAGGUUGCGAUGGGCUUUAACAGGAAAUGUGGAAAACACAUCACACACAACGUCGUUGUCAAACUUAUUAACAAAUUUAAAAAGACUGGAUGUGUUGUGGAUUUUUACCAUUUGUUCUUUUUUACACACCUACACAUCCUUCCUGUUUUAUUCCUUGCCCACAGUAUAUCCACCCCUGACCCUCCAUAAUAUAAAAAAUAAUAAAAAACAAAUAGAAUUUUUUACAUUUCAUGCACAUGUAAUUAUUUAUUCUUAUUUUAGACCUGCUUGUCUGUCUGUGUGUUCUCUUUGUCCUUCCAAUCAUCUGCUUUCCUUUUGUAGAAGAAAAUGAUGAUCAUGUUGUGUUGUAUCAUCCUGGGGAUAGUUGUCUUUUCCUGUCUCUACAGCUUCUUCUCAUAAAGUUGUGAUCAGGAUUAAAAGAUUCACACCGAACUGCUGUCAGAUAUAUGUAGUUUUCCUUGUUUUCUCCUACUUCACCCACUUACUUUGGGCUUUCUGUGUAUAAAAUGUUAUCAUCAUCAUCAUCAUCAUCAUCAAACCUGAAGAUUACUAAUCAACUGUCUGUCAGUUAAAAUAAUCAACAUGAUAUUUGGGAUAUUCCUUUGAUUCAUUUGAAUGCACAGGCAGAAUAAAUUUAACAGAGAGAAAAAAAAUUCUCUAAUGAAAUAUUUGUGGUAGUUUGUAUGUUUGUGUGUAUUCAUGCUUUGUAUGUAUAGUACUAUUCCGAUAUAGAAGUUCUUUCAUAAAAGGUGGUUGCCA